ensembl:lncRNA
GAAGCAGCACUCUCCACUCCUGUAAUUUCAGCUUCUUAAAACGCACCAUAAUUAGUGACAGUUGGUGGGUAGGACUUGGCUUCUGAUGUCGGCUUAAGAACGCAUUCUUGCUAAUUGCCUUUAAUGGAGCACUGCUGGACGGCCUGACUCGAUCUCGCAGGGCAACGGACAGGAAAUCCAGUCAGCACGGUUAUGGUGCCAAGUGGGUGUGGUCGAUUGUGUCCCUUCCUGCUUCAGGGGAGGAAAUGGCACGGGAGAUUUGUCCUUGUACGAGCCUUUCACACGGCCAGGCAGAAAUGACUCAAUGUCCAUCCAUCACACACACUACCAUUCUGCAGUCACAUUGCUCGCAGGUCACUUGUGUGAGUCGCUUGCUGCUCCCAUCCACCUCCUAGACACCCCCCGACUGCCAUGCCUGCUCCGGCUGUUAUUUCACCUUGUUACUUUCUUCCUUGCACUUCCUACUCUGUCAGGGUUACGUCAGGCUAAACAGUAAAAACCAAACCACAACGUCAAGCCCGUAGCUUCACCUUGCUGCCGCCAGAGUUUUUUUUUCUCGACCAGACAGAGAGAAGAAAAGAAGAAAGAAAAAGAGAAGAGGAUGUUUUGGGUUCCCGUGCGUCGUCCGGACCGGCUCCGCGGUUCUGGGCCAAACAUAAGUUCACAGCCCAUUCAUGUUGAGCUUGAGGUUUUUUUCCGACAGCAGCGCAGGGAAGGAAACACUACAAUGCUGUUCUGUACAACGCCGGGAGGUGAGAAGGGACCGCUACAUAAAGCACGUAGCCAGACCUGCCAGCGAUAUUCACAAUGGACUUUGUGUGGCUUUUGGACAAUAUCCUUCAUGCCCCGACAUGGUCUGUGAUACCGGGGGGGGGUUGGGGGGAACCAUUACCUUUCAGUUGAUAUUAAAGUGUGCUUCACUACCCCAUAAAGGCUCAAUGGAAUAACAUUAAAAAUCUGUUAUUCAGCAAUCAAUCAAAAUGAUCUGGUAUAACAGAUACCAGAUCAUUAUUGCAUUAGGAACAAUAAGCUUUAAUUUUAUCUUGAGCGGCUUUAUGGUUCUCAAAGGAAUUGGGUGUUGUUGUCUCCUAAAUUACUAUUGACUGAUAGGGGGCCUUAAGGGGGAACUUGAUUUCAGGCUAGCCUGAUGUUAUUGCUUGCAUUCCCUGGGCUGUAUUCACCAACUUUUGUAAAAAAAAAAAAAAAAAGAACACGUAGUGCAAAGCAUAUGUAAAAAAAAUAUAUAUAUAUAAAUGUUAAGAAAGAUUGAAUAUUUUGGACUCUCUGGACUGGAUGAAUAGCUUGUUUUAAAACACAGGAAUUGACAGGGUGUAUUGACAGGGACAAAGAUCAGUGAUGACAGGCCAUUCUGAAUCAAUCAAAUCAAAUAAUGCUCAGUUGUAUAUCAAGGAUCAAUCAAAGCCUGACAAUGUCAAUCGAGAAGAACGGGUAUAAUGGUCAGUUUACGUGGCCGAUUGCAUUUGGCUACAUUUCUCUCUCAUCAACCCCCUUACUUCGGUUUAAUAACGAAAAAUCAGUGCUCGCAACCUUUGCCCUGCCAUAAUCACAUUGUUAUUUCCACACGCCUCCGUAACCAAAAACAAAGCCUAAUAACAGUUACUCUUACUUAUGUAAAACGUUGCGAUUCAAGCCACUGAAAUAUAUUAAAAUCGCAAAACCACCAGAUUUCAGAACCGGGUUCCAAGAUGAGGUUUGGAUGAAGACUUUUUUUUUUUUUUAAAGCAACGAUUUCUGUAGUGGAACUCUUUUCACUGAAGCGUACUUUGAUUAUUAUGUCUGUUCGAUGGAGCGGCUAGUUCCCCAAGUCUCUGAGGUUUGUGGAGGAACAGUAUUUUUCAGCUGCACCACAGCGGUGAUGUUCCCGGUAAUCAAGCCUGGAGACCCCCGGAUGUCAGCGAGGGCCAACGACAGAUAGACAGAGUGGAAGUGAAGGAGUAGUGAAGUCGGGGCAACAGUUCAUCUGCUAACAGAUGGUAGAGCUCUUGAAGACUGGAACCUGGGCCGUGGGCCAAGUGAUGAUUUCGUAAAACCCCCAUAGUCUAUCGUUAUUUAGAAGCACCAGGGGAGAGGGGGUGGUGAAGGAUGGACGAGAUGGAGGGGGAUAGAUGGGACAGUGAGGCCCAUGUCUGAGAGUGGAUCUUCACGUGCUUGAGUUUAGGCUUCUCUGCAUCUAUUAGGUAAAAUAUCAG